UCGUGGAUCUCUCAUCUUCCGCUUGCUUGGAUUUGGGGUUUGAUUUUGGGACAGAGACCUAAGAUUUUGAAAGAAAUAUUUGAGGCUCCCAUUCACUCCCCCUCUGGUCGCUUUUUCGAUCCUUCAGUCCUUCAUGACUCUGCAUAGACUGAAACAAUCUAUCGCAAAGUGCUUGUGGUAUGGUUGCCAUGGGCAUUGUUUUUUUCAAGAGCUUGUUGAAUGAGGGCCGAUCUUGAUUCCUA
rnacentral:lncRNA from 1 species